rnacentral:rRNA from 1 species
UACGUAGGGGGCAAGCGUUGUCCGGAAUCAUUGGGCGUAAAGAGCGUGUAGGCGGCUCGAUAAGUCUGCUGUGAAAGUCCAGGGCUCAACCCUGGAAGGCCGGUGGAAACUGUCGGGCUAGAGUUCGGAAGAGGCGAGUGGAAUUCCCGGUGUAGCGGUGAAAUGCGCAGAUAUCGGGAGGAACACCAAUGGCGAAGGCAGCUCGCUGGGACGUUACUUACGCUGAGACGCGAAAGCGUGGGGAGCAAACAGG